GACUGACUAAAAUGUCUUGUCUCUUUAGAGAAAGAAGACAAGAAACCCACUGCAACCCCCAAGAAGCCCAGUGCUGGGGAUGACUUUGACUUAGGAGAUGCUGUUGUUGAUGGAGGAAAUGACGACCCACCACCACCGAACCCACCCAAGCCGAAG